AAAGCUUAUGAAAUAUAAAAUUUUACAAUAAAACCUUAAAUUCCCACAAAUUAAUCUAGGAAAGUUAAUUUCUUGCUUUUUGCAGUCCUAUAUAAGCCCAAAAGAAAAGCCUGAAUUCUUGAACAAUGACCGUUCGCUAAAUACAGAACAGGUAGCAAAAUUAAAACGCGCAUGCACAGAACAGAAGUACAUUUCAAAUACCAACAUCCACAUAUUGCAAACAAAUUUUGACAUUAACAUCGGUCCUUCAAUUUCAAGCACAUUAAACUCCACUUAACAACAAAGAGCUACAGGCCCUAAGAUCCUAAACCCAUCUACCGAACAAAAUGCACAAACAGAGCCCUCUGUCUCUCCAUUUAAGACACAGUAACCUCAACUUUUUUGGCCUUGGGUGGUGGAGGAUGCUUCUCAACAACAACUGUUAGAACCCCAUUUUCGCAUUUGGCAGUAAUGGCAGAUACAUAGGCAUUUUAAUGGGAGAGAAUGCGGUACCAAAUAUAAUGGGAGACGAAGGAAAGUUCGAGAGGAGAUAUAGGAAGAGUCGGGAAGAAUCGCAAGCAUUAUGGAGUGAUCCCGUGUGUGCACGUGUACUUGUUAGGGACAUUGUGGAAUCUUGUUGAGUAGAUAUUUAAAACGUGGUGUGAAUGAGAAGGGUAGGGUGGCUAAUGAUGUUGAGACAGAACAAAUUGUUUUUGAAGAUGUUCCUGAGGGACAUCCAGUGCAAAUAAGUUCUAUUGUACAAGAUCGGGGUUCAAUUCCACUUUUCUGGUCCCAGGAAACUUCACGAUUGCAUAUUAAACCUGAUAUUAUAUGUGUGAUUUCGGCAGACUUAAAUUGUGAUAAUCUCAGUGGUAAUUUUUCAUAAAAUAUGCUGAUUUCUUGUUCUGUUCACAGUAUUGAAGAAAGACCAAAAUUAUGAGGCUACGAAGCUUCAUUUUGAAAAUCUUGUAAAGAGAUAUUGAAAUCCGAUAAUCAUUUUGAAUUUAAUAAAGGUAGGCCCCAGCAAUGUUUAAGAGAAAAAUUGUUACGUAUGUGCAUGACCAUGCAUGUAAAUGGAUCAUAAUCUUUUGGCAACUGUGUUCAUGACUGACAGACACAUGAAAAGAAGCCUCGAGAAAGUAUACUCCGCACUGAGUUUGCUAAUGCUAUCAGAUACAUAAAUAAAGGCUUAUCGGAGGAUAAGCGCCUUAGGUUCCUCCACUGGGAUUUGCAUAGACAUUCCAGAAAGUAUUAAGCUCGCAUUAGUCCUCCUUGUUUUUCCCUUCUCCAAUUACUUUUGGUGUUAUUGAUGUGAAUAUUAUUUGGUUGUUUUUGAACAGAGCUACCAAUGUAUUGUCACUUCUAGGGAAAGUGGCAGCAUAUGCGUUGAACUUGACUGGCAUCUUUUAUUGUCAAGUCACACCAAGUUUAAGGCCCAUUGGGUUUUUGUAUUCAUCUGAGUAAGUAAUGCUGCUGACUUCUUUACAGCAUUUUUCAUCUCUUAUGACAAGGUUUUCUGUGCUUUGAUUGUCCAUUUAAACAAUCUUUUGGCAUUGCUUUUGAACCUAUUUAUAAUUCACAGCAUUUGAUUUAUGAUUUGUUGAAUUGUAACGGCAAAGAUUCAUAAUGCUCAUUUAUUAUUCGAGGUUGGUGCUUGACCAGCUUGGGGAAUGCUUUUAGACAUUUAUAUUUGCUGGCUUAUGCCUUGAGGAAUAUUGUACUCCAUUAGCAACUUCUCAUUUUAGCCAAAUUACUAUCAUUUCUGCUUAAUUAUUGCUAGCUAUUUAUGCUGUUGGCAAUGUAAAUAUUCUCCAGAAAAAAUGAUGAUGAAUGCUCUCUCAAAAUUACUUCCAAUGAAAAUGACUUGAGAAGGAAUUUGGACUCAGGAAUUACCAAUGCUUGUUCUGAAGAUGACAUAAAUCAGAGUAUCAAGACCCCUAUGUUUCAAAAUGGGGUGCUAAGGACCAAUUGCAUAGACUGUUUAGAUCGCACAAAUGUUGCCCAACAUGCCUGUGGUCUGGUGGCUCUUGGUCAUCAACUGCGUGCUCUUGGAUUAAUAGAAUCAGAAAAUAUUGAUUUAGAUAAUCCGUUAGCAGAGGAUUUAUUGGGGAUCUUUGAGACAAUGGGUGACACACUUGCAUUACAGUAUGGUGGCUCUGCUGCACACAACAAGGUAAUUCUUUCUGAAUAAGGUUGAAUUUAAAAUUUUUAGAUAUUACACAAUGCAACUGGGAUUAGAGAUAUUUGCUUGUAAUAUGUUUGCCAGUAGGUCUAUUGCCUUUGUUCUGUUUGAUGAAUUUGAUGUAUUUGAUUUCUCCAAGAUUAUAAACUUGUGGCUGUGGCUGUUGCUCUUUAGUGAAUAACAUAGAAGUGUAGAAUUUUAGAAACAGCAAAGAAAUUGUGCGUGGUAGUUUUUAAUAAGUAUAUUUUAAAGUGUGAAACAAAUGAGUAUGAUCUAUCAACCAUGCCAACUGGUGGUGUUAUUAGGUUUGAAAUUUAAUUUAACUUAAGUAACUUCGCAUGCAGUCAUCUAUUUGGUUGUGCCGAGGAAAGAACAAAGAGUUUAAUUUUGAUGUCUGAACCUGUCCAUCAGUGAUGAAGUAAGCAAGCUGAGUGAGUUAAGACAAAUUAUUUAGUAUAGGAAGCAAUUUAGAUACUAAUAUUAUUAGUUAAUCAUUUUAAAAGUAGAAGAAUUAUAUGCUUUUCCUAUCUUUAUUCUUAAAAUAAUUUAUUUACCACUCCUUGGGACAGCUGUAGUUUGGAACUUUACUUCUAACAUUUGAACCCCUUCUUGUAGGCUCAAAUAAACUACUUUUUCAUUAGAGUGAAAUCCAGUUGAUAUUGGGUUACAAUUUGCCCUUUGGCAUAUCGGAUGAGACUCAUUUGUUCUUUUCCCGUCUAGAUGCUUUGAUUUCUCUAGACUAGAAUUCGUUGGUUCCCGUUUGUCACUGUUUUGAAAUGAUGUUAACAGAUAUUUUAAGAAAGGAGAGGCCAGAGGAAAGCUGCAACUCAGUCCCAAGAGUUUUUUAGAACUUUACAGCGUUAUUACAGCAAUGCAUACAUGGAUGCUGAAAAACAAGACGCUAUUAACGUGUAAGUUAAAUCUGCUUUCUUUUCAAAAGCAUCAGAGUUUUUCCUGGAAUAGAAGCUACAAGGCAUUCUCAAAUUUUGAUAUGAGGUGCACUGGCAUGGGAAAGUUACUUGUUUAACAUGACAGUAAUUUUUAAGCAGAUUCUUGGGUCACUUCCAGCCACAACAGGGAAAGCCAGCAUUAUGGGAAUUGGAUUCAGAUCAGCAGCACAAUGUUAGAGGACAUGGUCCUGAUUUGGUUGAUGAGCGUGCUAGGUACUAUAUUCCUCAUGAUUGCAAAUAUUCUCCGCAUGAAAAUUUUGUUCAUCAGCAAACAAUGCGUUAGUGCUACUGUGGUUUCCUUAGAAACUACAAAACAUUUCAGAAAAUCAUGUCAGAAAUUCGCACAUUUUGCUUUUAUCAGAUAAUAGAAAUAAGUAAUCAUACAAAAAGAGGAUGGAGCUUCUGAAUGCAGGAGAACCCAUUUAACACAUAGAUCACAGACCUCUUCAGUUGAAAAUCUCUCUCAAUUGUAUGGAUCCUGUUCUACUGUUAUUGUACAGAUAAAUUUCUCAGCUUAAAGCUAAUUUUUUUUUUUUUUUCAUGAUUCUCUUUUUUUUUUUUUAUAAAAUUAUUGUUCUCGCAUCUUAUGAAAUCAUUCAGUAUUUUUAUCUUGAAAAUUGCAGAUGACCAUUUCAUAUUUGUGUCUCAGUAGAAUUUGUGUGCUUUUGGGCCAGGAUAUACAAUGCAAACUGAUCCAGGACCAAGAGUUCCUUUUUUGAAUUUCUAACAUUGAUUUCUGCUAUCUUCAGGUCAUUCAUUAAAAGGUCACUAUCAGAUUGGGAGCUUUUUUUCAAUUCAUGUAUAAUAAAAAAAAUAUUUAUUAAACCACGCAGAAUCCGAAAAUAUUUUCGAAUUCUUUGUGUCAAACAAAUAUGUUCGACACUAUGAUUGUCGAACACGCUUGUUCGACACUCAUAGUGUCAAACAAAGUACGGAAGCAUGUUGUUCGACACUAUUAGUGUCGAACAACAUGCACAGCUCAUUCACGUCCAAGCCGUCAAGCCGUCAAGGUGUCCAUCAAAUUGCUGGACAUGUUCGGGUCCUUCCUCUAACAGUUUUAUAUAAAAAUAAUAUUUUAUUAAUUUUUUAAUUUUUUAUAAAUUUAAAAAUUAAUUAAUAAAUUUUUUAAAAUUAUAAAAUUUAAAUUAAAAAAAUUUAAAAAUAUUUUUUAAUUUCAAAUGCUUUUCAUUUUUAUUUAUUAAAAUUUAGCCUUUAAAUAAUUAAAUUCUUUUAAAAAUAUAAAAAAUAAAUUAAAAAUAUUUUAAAAAUAUUUUUUGACGGCUUAAAUUUUCUGCAAUCCAUUGCUUCAUANNNNNNNNNNNNNNNNNNNNNNNNNNNNNNNNNNNNNNNNNNNNNNNNNNNNNNNNNNNNNNNNNNNNNNNNNNNNNNNNNNNNNNNNNNNNNNNNNNNNNNNNNNNNNNNNNNNNNNNNNNNNNNNNNNNNNNNNNNNNNNNNNNNNNNNNNNNNNNNNNNNNNNNNNNNNNNNNNNNNNNNNNNNNNNNNNNNNNNNNNNNNNNNNNNNNNNNNNNNNNNNNNNNNNNNNNNNNNNNNNNNNNNNNNNNNNNNNNNNNNNNNNNNNNNNNNNNNNNNNNNNNNNNNNNNNNNNNNNNNNNNNNNNNNNNNNNNNNNNNNNNNNNNNNNNNNNNNNNNNNNNNNNNNNNNNNNNNNNNNNNNNNNNNNNNNNNNNNNNNNNNNNNNNNNNNNNNNNNNNNNNNNNNNNNNNNNNNNNNNNNNNNNNNNNNNNNNNNNNNNNNNNNNNNNNNNNNNNNNNNNNNNNNNNNNNNNNNNNNNNNNNNNNNNNNNNNNNNNNNNNNNNNNNNNNNNNNNNNNNNNNNNNNNNNNNNNNNNNNNNNNNNNNNNNNNNNNNNNNNNNNNNNNNNNNNNNNNNNNNNNNNNNNNNNNNNNNNNNNNNNNNNNNNNNNNNNNNNNNNNNNNNNNNNNNNNNNNNNNNNNNNNNNNNNNNNNNNNNNNNNNNNNNNNNNNNNNNNNNNNNNNNNNNNNNNNNNNNNNNNNNNNNNNNNNNNNNNNNNNNNNNNNNNNNNNNNNNNNNNNNNNNNNNNNNNNNNNNNNNNNNNNNNNNNNNNNNNNNNNNNNNNNNNNNNNNNNNNNNNNNCUGCGUGAUUUAAUAAAUAUUUUUUUUAUUAUACAUGAAUUGAAAAAAAGCUCAUCAGAUGGCAAUCUUCUUUGUGAAAGUGACUCGCUUGUAACAGCUACCAAGGUUGCACAUAAUAAGGCUUUUUCCGAGGAGCAAGGAGUUUGCAAGGGUCUUUCAGAUUCAACUCCAGAGAUCUCCACCUGUGAAAGUGAUAUGUCAUACUCUAGGUCUGUAUUAAAUCACAUCUCCAUACUUGUUACUUCACCACAUCACUUUUUGAUACAAUACACCCAUGUUAAAACACAUUGUAAAGUAGCAUAUGUAAAUGCUAAUGCCCAAGAAAGCCAGGCUUGUAAGUGUUAACCAGCUUUUCAAAUUUAGCAUGUAAUAAUUACAUUCAACAGUCGGUAAAUUUAAUGUUCAUGAACUCUGAUGAGAGAGCAUUCAACUGCAUUGCUGCUGACAGAAUGUUGGUUGUCAAUUUAGGUAUACUCCCUCAAUGCCUCGCAUGCAACUUUUUAAAGAUAUAGGGGAAGAAUACUAUGAAAGUGAUCCUAUUUGCUAUGAUGAACAUGGGGAUGCAUGUAGUUGCUCAAAUUUUCUUGACUUGGACUGGCUUUCUUCAUCAGGGAAUUCUUGUGAAGGAGAUCCUUUCGAUAGGUAAGUUUAUGGUUCCACCGAGUUCUUGAACGCAGUGGCUUACAAAUAAUAGUUAACGCCCAUUGAUGUUUUAAUGGUUGCAGGUCAAUUGCUGGCCUAUCACAUGAUUGUCUUGUGAAUGAACUGAAACGCGAAAUAUCUGCCAGUGAGUCUGGAUCUAGCUCGAAGGUUAGUGUUGAAUAUCUGACACUUACGACAUAGCGGUUCCACGGGAGGAUGUCUAUAGAUGAUAAAUUAAUUUCAAUACAUGCUUCUAGGCAGAUAAUAAUCAUUUUACGUUUCGUUGAGAAAAUUUUCUUAAUUAUAUUAGAAAUAUUAAAUAUUAAAUUGAAAAAAUUACUAUUUAGUCCAUACUAUAUUUAGUAUGGAAAAACUCAUUAGUUAGACUUUUGAUUUUAAAAAAUGCAUUAAAAUGUCCCUAACAUUUUAAAAAGUUUAUUAGGUAUUUCUUCCAUUAAUUUUAAUCGUUAAGAAUUAUAAAAAAAUUAAAAUAUUUAAGGAAUUAAUUAGUAAACUUUUUAAAAAUUUGAGAGAUCAACUAAUAAGUUUUUCAAAAUUAUAAGAACUAAAUAGUAAAAUAUUUAAUAGCAAAAUUAACAUUUGAAAAAUUAUAAGAACUAAAUAGUAAAAUAUUUAAUAGCAAACCUAGCAUUUGAACUAAGUAGUAGACUUUUUAAAAUAUUAAAAACGGUUUAAUAUAUUUUUUAAAAUUAAAAAAAUAAUUAAUGAAUUUUAUCAUAUUAUAGGAAUAAAUUUUCCGUAAGAAUAUCAAUAUAAUAAAACAACAUUUUCCCUAUGGUAUCUAAAAUGAUGUUUUUCUAAAAAACAAUUCUGGUUUUGCACAUCAGUUAUAAUCUUAUAAUUUGCGUGGCUGCGUUAGUUUCAAAUAUUAAUUUAGCAUAUUCCUUUUACCUCUAGGGAAGAAAUCAAACCGGGACUGACAUCUCUUCCGAAGACGAGACAGUCAGAGAGGUGGAUUUUCAGAGCGGUUUCUAUGGUGGGUAACACAUGGGGAGACACUUUUUCAAAUAAGUUAGUUAUUUUGGAUUUGAGAUGAUAGUAAUUUAUCCGAUUUCUUUGGUCCCAUCCGAAAGAUGUGAAUUACAUAAUAGAGAAUAAAGAGUAGGAGACCUUCCUAAAGAUAAGAAAGGCACCGGCAUCUCCUGAAACUAUGUACUGAAUUACUGUAAUGGUAGUGUCUGAUUUUUGUUCAGAAGGGUGUGAUCGAGGCAACACAACACGAACAUGCUAAUUCAUUUGGAGCUCUCAGCUCAGGUUCUCCAACUCCUCUAAGAUAAAAAAUAAUCUUACAUUUAAAUUUCAAAUCUAGAUUCCUAGUUUGCAAUUUAGGUUAAAUUUGUAGUCAGUCUUUAACUCUUGUUUAUAAAAUGAACUCAUUAUUGACAGCUGCUUCAAUAGUAGAUCUCGUUAAUAAGGCAAUACUCGAGUGAUAACUUUGCGAUCGAUUAAUUCAUAUAGACAUUUUGUUUUAUAUAUUCAUCGCAUCAUCCACUCCGAGGGCAAGCUAAUUUCUGGAAACCCAUGCCCACGCUGCAUCAUCAGGGUGAAGCAAUUUUUCAGGUAUUCUUUUUUCUAAUGAACAGGCAAAGCAGCGGAAAAUUUAAUAGUUUCAAAGACUGAUUUUGGGGAGGUUGAAAACAUUCACCGAAGUAACGGCUUGAAUUUUAACGGCUUGAAUUUGUUACGUAUAACAGGUUAAACUGAUAGUUCAAGUUUUUCCAUAAUCAGUCAAAAUUUCAAUCGGUAUGGUUUUUUUUUUUCAAAAGACCCAUCUUAUAUAUCGGCCACUCCAUUAACUUUUUCUUUUUUGAACUUUUCAACAUUAAAAAAGCAAGAAAACUUGUCUGUUGAAAAAUAAGAAAACAACAUCACUAGGUCAAUGAAGAUCAACUUUCAAAAACUUUGAUGUUCGUAAUCCCUUAAAAAAAAAAAACUAAUAAAAUUUUAAUAUGUAUAGAAAAUCCUCAUGCUUUACUCAUCCCAGCCAGUAGGAGCAAGCGCAGGGGUGGGGGCUGCUGCACCUGCAAAUUGCGGGGUGGGGGCUGCCGCUGCACCUGCAAUAUGCGGGGUGGGGGCUGCCGCUGCACCAGCAAAUUGCGGUGGUGGAGCUGCAGCAUCCCAUUCUGUGGUGAAUCCACCUAAAGUUGAACCCAAAAAGAAGUGUUGUCAGAAAGAAAAGAAAUCGGAAAAAAAAAAAGGGAGUUGGAUCAAAAGCAGCAUCUGACAACUUCAUGAAAUGUAAAUUUAAAAUGAUUAAGGGAGCUAAACUGGUGUUGGAGUAACUCAAUACCUUGUUCUGGAUAGAAAUUGGCAGCAGGAACAGCAGCAAUAGGUGGUGGAGCUGCUUCAGCAGUCCAUUGGCCAUCAGCAAUUUGGGCACCCCAAUCAGCUGCAGGAAGCCCAUAAUCAGCAGGAGGUAGUGCAUAAUCAGCAACGGGCACUGCUUCCUCCUCUUCCUGUUCCUUGGUUUCCUCAGGUUCUCUAUAGAAAAACAAGUCCACCUGCUCAUGGAAAGAUAAAAGGAUAUGUAAUAAACUAAAGUAGAAAAAACACUGAUGGCCACUUAUGCAAGCAUCAAUGAGACAGGAAUAUAAUAUGCCUUAUUCAUAUAAAUAGCAGUUAUAAAUGCCUACAUUUUCUACAGGUGACUACAUGAGUCGGAGGAUGUGUGUUCAAGCAAUGAAAUUGUAUAUACUAGGAAUUGAAAGAGCAAACAAUAGAUUGGAACCAUUGAAUGCAAAAAGCCAUCAGCUACUAUGAGUGUACCAUAACAUCCCACUUGUGCCCUUGAGGAAUAGUGCCACGCAUCUGUAGAACCAUUCUUGCCAAGAGCCAAAAUAGGCACCCAAUACUGUGCUUUCCUUUGUUAUUUGCAGGGAUGCCAAUAUCCACAUAACGCAUAGGAGAAUCAGUAUCACAGAAAGCGAUGGUGGGAAUGUUUCCUAGAGAAGAUUCCUUAAUAGGCUGCAUCCGUAAGAAAAGUUAGAAUUCAGUCAAGGUUCAUAUAGGAAAUAAAGCAUUCAUAAAAAAGGCAUCCACACUAAGCUUAAGGCCAUGAAUAGGGGAGGAUUCACCUGGUGAUCAGUUCUUGGAUCAGUGAGUAUCAAGAGACGAGGCUCACUGAAAGAUGUUUGGAGCUGGUUAGUGAAUGUACCGGGAGUGUGCCUUCCAGCAAUAGCAUGAGCACCGGUGUAUUGAGCAAACUUGAGGACUGCUCUUUGACCAUAAGGCCUUGCAGACUGGACAAUAAUGUCCUGAGGGUUCUCAAUGCCAACAAUAACCCUAGCAGCCAGUUGAAGUUUUUCCCAAGUCUUACCAAGAUUGAUAAUAUAAAUUCCUGGGAAGGAACAAGGAGAAAUUCAUACCAACAGCAUUAACAUCUUGACAGCACAUCAAACUUCAGGAUUUAGAUAAGCAACAUUAAAGACAAGCAAGACUAGGAAAUAGAUUCUGGAAUGCAAAAUCACGAUGCAUACAACUAAUACAUGUAUAUGAAUCUCUAGAACUGCUAAAAUACAACUUGUAUAUGCACCAGUGUCUCCAAGAAAAAAGCAGUAUUUCCGUAAAGAUCAAUUCGAAUUAAAAAGUAACUACUUCAAACAAGACAGAUUCUUAAGCAAUUCAAGUAAUCCAAUUCCAUAAUAUAUCUUCCUUGUACUCUGAUUCAUUCACAAAGCAGCUUAAGAGGCUAAGACUAUUGAAUCAGUGAUUCGCUUUCUUCCUAAUUCUACACAAAAUUCACAUCAUCAAAAUAAAAAGAAAAAAAAAGGGGAUUAUAUCAGAACUAGUCCCGGAUGAUCGAGUGGAAACAUAAUCAUCUGCAGCCAUUGAAUAUACCGCUUAACGGAGAUCUUCCUAAUAAGAUAAUCAAACUUACAUAUGUAUCCAAGAGAGAGUAAAAUACCAUCAUUUCGGCGCUUGAACACGUAGCGUUCCAUCUGGAAGUCGCAGUUCUUAGUGCCGAGGUGAACUUCGGCAGCCAACAUCAUCUGUAUAUCCAACUCCUUCUGGGACAAAGUCCGGGUGGGAGCUGCUGCCGUCGCCAUGGCUUCUAUGAAACAGCUUGAGAGGAAGAGAACUGUAACCGUCUGUGUCAGAUAGAGAGCGAGGGAUGUGCUAGGUUUUUCCGAGGGAGACUGAGAGAGUAUAACUAGGGUUUUUAAGGACCGUCGAAAUUAUGCGCCUUUUAGGGCUCGCUCACAUCUGAAAUUGCCUAAAUUUAGAAAUCAACACGUUUCAUAUUAGAAAUUUCGUAAAUUUAGAUUAAUUUUUUAUUUUUAAAAUAAAAUAAAAUAAGUAUGUCUAUUGAAAAAUAAAUUAUAUUAAAAUUUUAAAAAAAAUAUAACAAAAUACUAUAUGAUUUUAAUUUAUAUUAAAAUAAUAUAUAUAAUAUUGUAAUUAUCAAUUAAAAAAAUAUAAAAAAUAUUUUAUAAAUUUAUUUAUUUUUAUUUUAGAGUAGAAAUUAAUUUAUAUUAAAUUAAUUUUUAUAUUAAUAUUUUUAAUGUUAUUUAAAAAUUAUCUCCACUUAUUAAUGGUACAAUAUUAUGAGUAUUUGAUUUGAAUUAAAAAAUUAAUAAAAUUAUAAAUUUUUUUUCUUUUCCCUAAAAUUUAUUUCAAUAAAAAAUAUUGAAAUUAAAAGUGUAUUAAGAUCUCAUUUCAAACUCUUAGAUUUUUCAAGAAGCAAAAUGAAAUCCACUAGAAUAGACAUCCUUUUUAUUUCUUAUUUUGGUUUUUUUUCAGUAUACUAUUUUUAAUUAAUUUAUUUUUUUAAAUGGGGAUUGAAAGAGUAGAACAUGAGAUCUCUUAGAUUUACUUAAAUGCAUUUACAACCAGACCAUGUCUGUGAGUGUAAGGCAUCAAAAUUAUUUAAUGAUUAUAAAAUUAUAAUUUACAUACAUUUUUUUAAAGAUACAUGUGAGAAGAUAUAUAUAUAUAUACUUAAUAAUAAAAUUUUGAUGCAUUUUAGGAUAUUAUUAAAACUAAUUGUCCGUCUAAGAUCAUUGAUAGAACUUAUUUUUUAUUUAAAAAUACUAUUGAGAACACCAAUUUAACACAACUCUCUUAUUGACUUUCAAUUAUAACACUAAAUUUUAAAUUCUUUAUUAACAAACAACUUUCUAACAAGUUUUUUAACACGUCUUUAAAUUGGUUUAGCACUAUUCAAAUUAAUAGCAUAUUUUGAUGCAUGCCUUAACCCAAAAAAAAAAAAUUCCGUAAAUAUACCAACCAAGAAGUCCUAUCAAAUGUUUCCUAUUUAGCCUAAUCCUUGCAAGCUUUUCAAAAUGGGAUUGAACUAAGCAAACUUACCAUUAAUACAUUCUAACUUCCAAUUUCUAUGUAUUCACUUCUUUAACAUGGCAAAUUAAGAAGUGAUCUCAACGGUUGCAAAUAAGAAAAUAUAGCAUCACUACAUCAAGGUUUAUGUCAAAAUUUUAAACUCCAAAUGUCUACAACUUAGCUAUGCUCUAGGUAAUUAUAAAAUAAAAGAAAAGGGAAAUUUGAUGUUGCUUAAUCCCUCAAGCAAGUAAUAAUCACGAAUAAUAACAAUAAAUAUGGUAUUGAUGUUAUCUUGUUUCACUCAUCCCAGCGAGUAGCAGAAGGUGCAGGUGCUACUGCAGCAACAAAUUGGAGUGGAGCUGGAGCUGGAGCUGGCGCAGCAUCCCAUUCACUUGAAGUAGGAACACAUAAAGAUAUUAUGUCAGGGGCCAAAAUCACCACCACUAGCAUGGUGAAACGCAUGUAACAUUGCAAUGGUAUAGCAAAAAAUUGUAAAUAUAUAAACAGGAUCACAAGGUAGAUUAAAUGAAGUUUACUAGUGUUUGAAUAACUUAUACCUUGAUCUGGAUAUACGGCAGCGGGAACAGUUGAAAUAGGUGGUGGAACUGCUUCAACAUUCCACUGGCCAUCAAUAAUUUGGGCACCCCAAUCAGCAGAAGCAAGUCCAAAAUCAGCAGCAGGGAGUGCAUAACCAGCAAUUGCUACCGCUUCCUCCUCUUCCUGUUCCUUGGUCUCCUCAGGUUCUCUGUAGAAGAAUAAGUCCACCUGCACAUGGAAAACAAAUAAAUGGAAAUGUAAUAAACCUAAAAGCUUGAAAUUGUAGCCAAUUAUGCAAACAAAGUGAAAAAAAAAAAUAUAACCAAAGAAUAUACUUUUAUGAGAAAGGAGCAUCAUAUAACUUGUCCAUAUGCACACAUAGCUAUGAAAUGUCGACAUAGUUUAUAGGCCAAUAAACACAUAAGGUAAUAAGAUGAGUGUUCACAUUAUCAAUUUGUAAAUAUCACAAAUCAGCAGAGAUGUUUGUAAAAUGAGCAGCCAUUGCCAAAAAAAUAAUUAUCUGAUAAUGUGCAUGUACCAUAACAUUCCACUUGUGCCCUUGAGGAAUAGUGCCACGCAUCUGCAGAACCACUCUUGCCAAGAGCCAAAAUAGGCAUCCAAUACUGUGCUUCCCUUUGUUAUUAGCAGGAAUGCCAAUAUCCACAUACCGCAUAGGAGAAUCAGUGUCACAGAAGGUAAUGGUUGGAACGUUUCCAAGAGAAGAUUCCUUGAUAGGCUGCACAUAUAAGACAAGUUAGAAUUUGGUCAAGGUUCAUAACUUCAUAUAGGAAACAAACUAUUCAUAAAAAUGGCAUCCACACUAAGAUUAAAGUCAUGAAUAAGGGAGGAUUCACCUGGUGAUCAGUUCUUAGAUCAGUGAGGAUCAAGAGACGAGGCUCGCUCAAAGAUGUUUGGAGCUGGUUAGUGAAUGUAACAGGAGUGUGCCUUCCAGCAAUAGCAUGGGCACCAGUGUAUUGGGAAAACUUGAGGACUGCUCUUUGACCAUAAGGCCUUACAGACUGGACAAUAAUAUCUUAUGGGUUCUCGAUGGCCACAAUAACCCGGGCAGCCAAUUGAAGUUUUUCCCAUGUCUUUCCAAGAUUAAUAAUAUAAAUUCCUACAGAAUGAACUCCAAGUAAAUAUCAACAUCCAAAAGAUCUUGGCACAUUAAAGUUAAGCAGUAGGAUAAAGAAGGCCAAAGAUGACAUGGACAGUAAAAAACUUGUGUAUGAGAGUUACAUGUGCACAUAAGGAUAUCAAGUAAUCCAACUUUUUAAAGAAAAGCAACUAUAUAAUCAUCAAUUUAACAGUCAUGAAACAAAUAAAAUUAUUGAGCGAGUAAUUCAAAAAAUCCAAUUAGCAACUGUCAACUCCAUUUUACUCCAUAUCUUAGGGAUUCCGGUAGUAACUGAAAUCGAUUGAACCAUUAAGAGCGUGACUUAUGGCACUCAUAUUUCGCACUGAAAGUAAGACUUACGACAACUAUCAAACGGUUGAAGCCAUAACUUACAAAUUCACGUAAUAUCACGUAUUUAGACAAUGGUCAAAUUUUGUAUCCAAGUUACAGUCGAAGGUGAUUUGAGUGGAAACACAAUAACCUAUAGAUAUUACGGAUACCACAGAUAUGAGAUCUCCCACUAAGCUAUUCAAUUAUCAUUCAUAUGAUAAAAAAACAUCCAAUCAAAAAUUGAAGGUCCUAAAAAAUUACAAUGAAACAGAAUAAAAGCACUUCAAGUAAGAAAAUUUGCACACAUAUGUAUGUAAAUGCAAAUGAAGGAGGGAGAUAGUAUAUACCAUCAUUGUGGCGCUUGAAAACGUAAUGUUCCAUCAGGAAGUCGCAGUUCUUUGUGCAGAGGUGGACUUCGGCAGCCAACAUCAUCUGUAUAUCCAACUCUUUCUGGGAUAGAAGUCGUGCUAGUGCUGCUUGUAACGACCCGAAAACUGGACCGCUACCGGCGCUAAGAUUUAGGUCGACUUAAGGUCGUCGGAACCCGUAGCAAGCCUACUAUACAUCCUGUGAACCUGAUAAAAUCCCAUACAUGAUCAUACAUUUUCAUAAAACUUAAACAUUUCACGAACCAAUGCCUGACCUGUGCAUGCAUCAUAAACUGUAAAUAUAAAACCCACACUAGAUCCCUCUCUAGUAUGGUAAACAUCACAUGUCUCAAGCUUGGUUCAACAUAACUCAUCAUUUAAAACUUUUACAUAAAGAUCAUAAACAACGGGGAUUUACAAAAACAUAUACUAGGGCCAAGCACAAUUCUAAUCCAUUAAUUAAUACAUGUCCACAACUAUUCUAUUACAUUAAACUAUACCAGCCAUUAGCCGACUCUCCCGAGCUAUCUUUGACCCCGCAAACCUGGGGUUAGGGGAAAGGAAUAAGCUACAAGAGCCUAGUGAGCAGAACAUAAAAACAGUUUAAUAAAUAUAUGCUCAUAUGGAAUGCAUCACAACACAAACAAUUCACAUCAAGAUGGACUUGUCACCAGUAACUCUCUACAUAAUCCAAUGUGCCCGGCCCAUUACGAGUGCUCCUCAGGACUUUCGCUUAAACAUAACAUAACAUAUCCAAUAUGCCAAGGGCGUAGAAUGGGCCUCACCUAGACUUUCCCUUACAUAAUGCCAGGGGCGUAGAAUGGGCCUCACCUGAACUUCCGUAUCCGUCAUAACAUAACCUGCUCGAGGGCUAGUGUGUCAUCCAAUAUCCAUCCACAACAACAGUAAAUUAUGCAAUGCAUCAUAUUCGUGAAUUCUAAUGCAAACAACCUAUUACAUAACAUGGCAUUCAUGAUGCAUGAACAUGCUCAAAAGUUUGAUUACUUUAAAAUAAUAAAUUUGUUUAGUUCUACUCACCUCUGGCUGACGCUUGCCUAACACUAUAACAGCUGACUCACUGCUGGCCUCUACGGUCUCCCAGGUCCGAUCUUACACAAAUGGACUCCAAUGAGGGACCAAACAUAGCUAUUACAAGACUCUAAACACUCCUCAAAAAAUCCCCUAAAACAUAACAAAACAUGCAUAGGAAACAAGCAAAGGAAGGCUGGGUAGAGGACUUUCGGCGGCAGGUUCGAUAGCCGAAGAUCCCCAUAGAUCCGAAAGUCACUAACCUUCGGGGGCAGAUUCGGCGGCCUAACCCCUUCAUAGAUCCGAAAGUCCAUCCUUUCGGGGGCAGGUUAGGCGGCCAAAGGCUGCCUCCACAGGCAGGUUCGACGGCCGAAUCUUGCUUCAGCGGCCGAACCUGGGUUCUCCAGAAUGGCAGAACCCGAUUCUGUCUUAUGCACUCAGACACCAAAACUUCUCAAAUCCUCACAUCCAACCCCUCAAAACAAGCAUAUUCACUCAAACAUGCACAAGGGGCAUAACAACUAGCCUAAACCCCAAUAAACAACUAUAAAACAUCACAAGAGCAAGCAUUUAUCAUCAAAACUAACACAACCCUAAAACUUUAGAUCUAAUUAUUUCAUGCAUUUUUAACCCUUAACCUUUUCUUAAAACUUGAUUAAAACAUAAGAAAAAAUAAAGAUCUAGACUUACCUCUUAGAGAUCUAGGAGUGACAGCAACCCCGACGUGGAAAUGAGUCCAAACGGUCUCUAGAUUUCUCCAAGGUUUCAAAACUUGGAUUUAAGCUCAAAUCUUCAAAACGAAGGAAAACUCAUGAAUAUUUUGAAGCAUUUGAAGGAAAAACAACAAAAUCAACAAUGGGGGGGCAAGAACUCACCUUUGCCCAAAAAUGGAGAGAAAAACUCUCCCAUUUUCGGACUGGAGGCCCUUUAUAGAUGGUUGGCCAGAACACCUUCGGGGGCCGAAAGGAGAGCUCCCGCGGCAGCACCAUGUUCGGCGGCCAAACAUAAGGUUCGGUGGCCGAACCUAGUUUUUCCCCCCAAAGCAUUUUUCUUUCUUUUAAAAUAUUCUUUAACAUAAAACCAACCGUAAAACCAUAAAAUUCAUUUUGUGAAAAACUUAUUUUACCCUUCUAAGAUGUUCCGACAUCCAAGAUUCCAGAUUCCAAUGAGAAUUCCAUCGAAAGGUUGGAAUUCUGACGCCGGAGUCUAGCCGAGUAUUACACUGCUGCUAUGCCGAUCGCCAUGGCUGCGCAAAGCGAGAGCUCGAUUGCUUGAGGGAGACGGAGCGAGAGUAAGACCGACAGAUGAGGUAAGGGUUCUUUAACAUAGUGAGGUGAGGGAAGAAACUAGGGUUUUAAGGGCCUGUUGAAAUAUUAGCGCGUCUUGGGUUGGCAAUUUUUAGGAAAGCCUAAACUCCAUGGAAGUUUAAAGAUUAAAGCCCCUUCAAAAUCCACGUUGAAUUUUUUUUUUAAAUGUCAUUCAAAUAUUUAAUUAUUUUAUAAAUUUAUAAUUGAAUAUACUAAAUUUGAUAUCAAAUUAGUUUUCAAAUAUUUUAUACUUUAUGUAUUUAAUGUAAUAUUAUGUUAUCUAUGAAUAUAUUUUCAUGAAAUUAAACAAUGUUCUAAAGUCAGGUAUGGUUUCUUCUAAAAUAGGUAUUUUAUUUGUGGAAAAUUAAUCAAUAAAAUUAAGAUUUUUUACGAGUUUGCCGUAGUGAUAUUUCUAUCAAAGUUUAAAAUCCCCUACUUUCUAACUUAGUUAAUGGAUUGGAAAUAUUUUAGAAUCUUACUUCUCAUUAUAUUUAUCUUAAUUUUAUAAAAUCGUACUUUUCUCUAUUAAAACAUAAUGCAAGGUUGACAAGUAUUUUAACCAUGUAAAAAAAUAUUAUAUAGAAAGUAAAAUAAUCUCAUAUCCUAUGCAAUUCUUAAAGAUUCAACAAAAAAAGAAAAUUUAAAAUAUUUUUUUAAAUUAAUCAAAUCACGAUAACAAAUUUAAAAUUUUAACAGCAUAAUUUAUAUGUUUUUAAGAACUUGAAAUUUCAGAAAAGGAAAAAGAGAACAUUAUACAUUACUUGAUAUGCAUACAUAUAAAUUAUAAAUUACUUCAAGUUCAAACCUUAAUUUCUCAAGACUCCCACUAAUGAAUGCCUUCUUACAUGCCAUUAAAUAUUUAUUAGUGUUGUAAAGCUCAUAUACUUCUGAAGGUGUAGAGUUUGAGGCUCAAAACCUAUUAGAUAUGGAAGUAGGAAAACAUAGUUUGAGUCAUACGUUGUAUUGUCCUUAAGGAUUAUUUGGUAAUCCCUCAAGAUUAGACAAACUUCUCUUAUAGAAUUCAAGAUCAGAACAAUAAGUUCUCUUUAAUGUAAUCCGGCAGGUAAAGAAAAGUAGAAGAGCAGAAAGAGCACAGAAAAGCAAUCAUCUUUCAACUGUGAAAGUCUAUUUAUAACUGUAGAAAGAGACGCUGGAGUUUUUUAGAAAAAUCUACUCAUAGACGUUAAAGUUGUUUAGAAAAAUCAAUAGAGACAUUCAAAUAAAAAUCUCACAACACCUAUAAAUGGUUUGACUUAGUAAAAAUAGUCGUUUGCAGAUAAGGUCCAAAAAAUUAAAUAAACAAAAAAUAAAAAUUCUACAACGCAGGGGAGCGAAUCAAUGUAUUUGAACUGAAAUUGAUUUUUUGGUUCAAGUCUGUGCGCGCGAGCCUUACUCCUCUUACUUGCCCUUUACAAACCCAAUUACAAAAAACCAUUUAUAAACCAAGAGAAAAGUAUGUGUCUUUCCGAUGUGAGACAAAAGUUUUUUAAAUACAGAAUUUUAUAACAAUCCCCAACAUAUUUCAAAAAAUUUUCUUUGUUGGGUUUAAGUUUUGAGUGAAAAUGUUUAGAAUCUAGUGUCUUCUAGACUAUGAAUCAGUCCUAGACUGAUAAGAUAUAACAUACAGAUUAAUUGGUGAAGUUCUUGCUUCUAUGAAUUAAGUACUCUUUUUGUAGGCUAAAAUCUCAUCAAUCACAUUAUACUCCACAAUUCUUGCUGUUAACAUUGUUUUGCGCUAAAUAGGUCGUGCGCGCGCCUAGUAAUUAAUAAGUGCUCUAAAGAUUAUGCCACAAUCUCAUAGGAGCGGCCCCACUCCACACUUACAUAGGUGAUACCAUCAAGUGUAUACUGCAAUUUAUAUAUCACCCAUAAGGGAUGUAAAUAUCAUUAAGAGAUUCCAUCUCAUGCUCUCAUUAAUGCAAUCUAGCACUUCUCACACCAUAGGAAGGGACAACGACAAAUAAUGCUAGCAGAACUAACAAGUGACUUGUUAUUACCCAUAUGAACCUUUUUCAUAGAAUCUCUAAUCACAAAGGUUGUGUUACUAUCACUGUUAGUUUCAAAUUGGCUCAAGUCUCAUUCUCUUUGAUGUUUUAUCUAUUAGUUUUCUCCCUAAAGGUUUAGUUAGCAGAUCGGCCAAAUUCACUUCUGACUUCACAUAAUCAAUAAAAAUAGUUCCAUCUUUCAACAGCUGCUUAAUAACAUUAUGUCUUAAACGAAUAUGAUUAUUCUUAACAUUGAAAGUUUUAUUCUUUGUAAUGGCUAUUGCAGCUUGGCAAUCAUAACGCAUUGAUACAGAUGGUAUUGCUUUUAUUACUAACGGAAUAUUUGCAAAGAAGUUUCUUAGCCACUCAGCUUUAGUUCCAACUAAUUUCAGAGUAAUAAACUACGACUCUAUAGUGAAUUUAGUAAUGAUAUUUUGUUUUGUUGAUUUCCAUGCAAUUGUACCACCUCCUAGAGUUAGUGGAUUUUAUUUCAUCUGAACCUAAAAUCCAGUUAGUAUCACUAUAUCAUUCUAAUACAGCGAAAAAUCCACUAUAUAAGAUACCAUAGUUCAUGGUACCUCUCAAAUCUUUCAUUAGUCUAACUAAUGCAGCCCAAUGAUCGUCAUUGAGAUUAUGUGUAAACCUACUCAAUCUACAUACAACAUAAGCUAUAUCAGAUCGUGAAAAAUUCAUUAAAUGCAACAGAUUUCCAAUGAUCUGUGCAUAUUCAAAUUGAGCAAUAGAGUCACCUCUAUUUUUCUUUAAUUGAGAGUUAGGAUCAUAAGGGGUACUCACUGAUUUAACAUCGAAAUGUCUAAACUUUCUUAGAAGUUUCUCAAUAUAAUGCUCUUAUGAUAGCAUUAUACUGGCAUUAUUCUUUAUGAUUCUAACUCUUAAAAUCGCAUUUGCCUCUCCCAUAUCUUUCAUAUCAAAUUUAGAGGUAAGAAAAAUUUUUAUUUUACAAACUAUAUCAUAACUCGUAUAAAAAAUAAGUAUAUCAUCCACAUAUAAAUAAAUAAUCACAGAUUCACCAUUUAUACAUUUUGUAUAUGUGCACUUAUCAACUUCAACAGAGGAAAAACCAUCAUUCAAUAAAACUUGAUCAAAUUUCUCAUGCCACUAUUUGGGUGCUUAUUUUAAACCACAUAAGGAUUUGAAAAGUUUAUAAAUUUUAUUUUCUUGACCAGAAAUAAUACAACCAUCAGGAUAUACAAUAUAAAUUUCUUCUUCCAAGUCUCCAUUUAAAAAAUUUAUUUUAACAUCCAUUUGAUGAAUAACAAGUUUAUGUAUAGAAACUAAAACAAUUAAUACUCUAAUAGAAGAAAUUCAUGCUACAGGGGAAAGGUAUCAAGAUAAUCUAUACUGAGAUGCAUGAUGGUCCGACUUACCACAUACAAAACAAUGUCAUUUCUUUUUAAAGGUGGGAUUAUUAAACUUAGCCUUGUAAUCAGUUUUUUAUUUUCGUAUAUAUUAUUUGACUUAUGCACUUUUCCUUGUACAAUAUUUAUUCUUGUUGUAACGACCCGGAAACCGGACCGACCGGCGCUAGAAUCCAGAUCGGCAUAAGGCCGCCGGGACCCAUAGCAAGCCUAACAUACAUCCUGUAUACCUGUUAAAUCCCAUACAUGAUCAAACAUAUACAUAAAACUUUAAACUUUCUCUUUCAUUUACCAAGUUUAACAUGUGCAUGCACAAACUCAUAAACAUAAAACCCCACACUGGAGCCCUCAUCAAAUAUUCCAAUGGGGCAACAUAUCAUACAUUAAGCUUGGCUUACAUAAACAUCAAUAAAACAUUUCAUUAAAAGAUCAUGUACCAAAAAGGGAUUAACAUACACUAGGGCCAAGCACAAUUCUAUCUUCAAUACAAUUCUUUACAUUACAUCACAUUAUAACCUUUUACAAUACAUGUCCACAUCUAACUAUUACAUAAAACAUGACUCCUUUACUCUUGUUGACUUCCUGAUCUAUCCCGUACCUGCAAACCUGGGGGUUAAGGGAAUGGGGUGAGCUACUAGAGCCCAGUGAGCAGAAUAGUAAAAACAUUAUAUUAAAAUUCAUGCUUUCAUGAAAUGCAUCACAUCACAAACAAAUCACAUCAAGGAUGGACUUGUCACCAAUAGCCCUCUACACAUUCUAAUAGUGCCAGGGGCGUAGCAUGGGCCUCAAUGGUCUUUCUCUUACAUAACAUAACAUUCCAAUGUGUCAGAGGCGUAGAAUGGGCCUCACUGGUCUUUCUCUUACAUCGUACCAGGGGCAUAGCAUGGGCCUCACUGGUCCUACAUACCAUACCAUAUCAUAUCAUAUCAUGUCAUCAUACGAGGGCUAAUGGAUCAUUCAACACCCAUCCACAUCAACAUUAUAUUAUGCAAUACAACAUAUUCGUGAAUUCUAGUGCAAACAACCUAAUAUAUCACAUGGCAUUUGUGAUGCAUGAACAUGCUCGAAAUUUAUUUGCUUUGAAACGUAAAGAUCCAUUCUACUCACCUCAGGCUAGCUCUGAAAAGACACUGAAGCAGCUAUCUCACUGCUGGGGUCCUCGGUUCCUCGGGUCCGAACCUACACAGGUGGACUCAAAUGAGGGACCAAACAUACAUGAACAUGACUCUAAACUAUUCCCCAAAAACCCCCUCAAACACCUUAAAACCAUCAUAGAAAACAUACAAAGGAAGGCUGAACAGGGAACUUUCGGCGGCAGGUUCGGCGGCCGAAAGUCCCUCCAGAGCCGAAACUCAGCCACUUUCGGCGGCACCUUCGAUGGCCGAAAGUGGUUCCAGAGCCAAAACUCGUGCAUGUUCGGCGGCACCUUCGGCGGCCGAAACUCCCCUCCAGAGCCGAAAGUCCAACUUUCGGGGGCAGGGUUCGGCAGCCGAAGGCUUGCCUCCACAGGCAGGUUCGGCGGCCGAAAGUCCUUCGGCUGCCGAACCUGAGUUCUCCCAAAGUGGCAGAACUCAGCCUCCUCAUGCACAUUUUUCCUCCCAAACCAUUCAAACAUGCAUUUAGCUAUUCUACAACAUGCAUACACAAGCAAAUAAGCAUAUAGGGAUCUCAAACUAACCUAAACCCCAACACAAACACAUAUAGCAACUCAUACAACACACAUUAUCCAUAAACUCAACAUUACCCUAAACAUGCAUUUCUACCCCAUAACCCCUCAAAACUUGUUUAAAACAUACAAGAAAGGUAGGAUAUAAGCUUACUUCUUGAAGAUCGAGAGGAGAGACGAUCCUAACUUGGAGAUGGGAGAAAUCUAGCUCCUUGGGUCUCCAAGCUCCAAAACUUGAUUUUAGCUUCAAAAAUUUUCAAAACCAAGUUAAAACUUGUUAAAACUUGAAAGAUUUGAGGAAAAUCAUUAAAACCAACCAUGGGAGGACAUGGACUCACCGUUGGCCGAGAAUAGGAGAGAAAACUCGCCCAUUUUCGGCCAUGGGGCCUUUUAUAGGUGGCUGGCCAGGCCACCUUCGGAAGCCGAAGGUGACUCCAAAACUCAUGCAUGUUCGGCGGCCGAACCUGGAUUUCCCUCUAUGGUCUUUUUCAUUCAAAACUCAAUUUUUUUUCUUACUUAAAACCAUAAAAUACAUGAAAACAUUUUAUAAAAACAUGUUUUUUACUCUUCUAGAGGUUUCCGACAUCCGAGAUUCUACCGGACGGUAGAAAUUCCGAUACUGGAGUCUAGCUGGAUAUUACACUUGUAGUUAGCUCUUUAUCUUUUGUAGUUUUGAGUUUCCUCUUGUCUGUAUCUUCAAUGAUGAUAUGAGAGAUGAAAUCUGAUGGUAUCAAAAGCUUAUAUUUGUGUUUCAAUUGUUACUUGUAGUCACUCUAAGAAUUUGAUAAUUUUUCUAUCAGCAGUCUAACUACAAAUUCAUCUUCUAGAAUAAUGUUUUCAGCUCUAAAAUCUUCUAGAAGUUUAUGGUACUCAUUAAUUUGCAUUUUGAUAUCUUUUCUUUAAUUAUUUUCCAUUUAUAAAAAUUACCAAUUGCAAAUUUUUGUUUUUCAGUAUCCUCAGCAGUAUAUUUUAAGUUUAUCAAAUCCUAUAUUUCUUUUACUUCCUUGUAGGAAUAGUAUACAUCAAAGAGAUCGUUAGAAAGAAUACUAACUAUUAUAUGCCUACACACCUUAUUAGAAUAUAUCCAGAUUUUACACAAUUUCAUAUCAAUAAAAGGUGCAGAUCUUGAUUCUGUGAGUGUUGAAGCUACGCUAUGCAUGUCAAGCAUUGAAAAAAUUAUCUCUUGCCAUCUCUUGAAAUUCUAAUCCGAAAAAACUUCAAUUUUCGUUUGACAUAUGAAACCGUAGGUAGAAGAGACCCACUAUUUGCAGCAGUAGAAAACGUGGCGGUAAAAAGCACAGUAAAAGCAGAAACAGUGAUAAUGUUAUUGGAAGCAGACAGUGCAGAAACAAAGAAAAUAACAACAUUUAGUUCCAUUUGUUUAAAGUUUUAAAUAAUUCUUAAGAUUGUUAGAUAUGAAAAUAGGAAAACGUAUAAAAGCAGAAACAGUGAUAAUGUUAUUAGAAGCAGACAGUGCAAAAACAAAGAAAAUAACAACAUUUGGUUCCAUUUGUUUAAAGUUUUAAAUAAUUCUUAAGAUUGUUAGAUAUGAAAAUAGGAAAACGUAGUUUGAGUCAUGUGUUGCACUCUCUUUAAUAUAAUCCAACAGGUAAAGCAAGGUAAGAAAGUAGAGAGCGCAUAAAAAAAUAAUUAUCUAUGAACUGUAAAAGUAAAAUCUAUUUAUAGCCAUAGAAAAAGAAAUAUGAAAAUUAUUUAGAAAAAAUUAGAAAAAACAUUAAAACUAUUAGAAAAAUCUACUCAAAGACGUUAAAUCUAUUUAAAAAAAUCAGGAGAAACGUUUAAAUAAAAAUCUCACAACAGCUAUAAACGAUUUGAAUUUAAUAAAAAUAGUUAUUUAUCGAUAAAAUUCAAAAAAUUAAAUAAAUAAAAAAUAAAAAUUCUAUAAUUUUAUUUAUCCGCAUAUGCAAAAUAAUAAAUUGAUAAAUUUAAACUAAAAUUAAUUUUUUAAUCCAAAUUCAUGUGCGGAAAUUUUACUCCUAUUUUUUUUCUUUACUAUUCUAAUAAUAAAAAGACCAUUUAUGAAAAAAAAAAAUUUACCUUUCCAAUGUGGAAACAAAACUUAUGAAAUAUAAAAUUUUACAAUAAAACCUUAAAUUCUCACAAAUUAAUCCAGGAAAGUUAAUUUCUUGCUUUUUCAGUCCUAUAUAAGCCCAAAAGAAAAGCCGGAAUUCUUGAACAAUGACCGUUCCCUAAAUACAGAACAGGUAGCAAAAUUAAAACGCGCAUGCACAGAACAGAAGUACAUUUCAAAUACCAACAUCCACAUAUUGCAAACAAAUUUUGACAUUAACAUCGGUCCUUCAAUUUCAAGCAUAUUAAACUCCACUUAACAACAAAGAGCUACAGGCCCUAAGAUCCUAAACCCAUCUACCGAACAAAAUGCACAAACAGAGCCCUCUGUCUCUCCAUUUAAGACACAGUUACCUCAACUUUUUUGGCCUUGGGUGGUGGAGGAUGCUUCUCAACAACAACUGUUAGAACCCCAUUUUCGCAUUUGGCAGUAAUGGCAGAUACAUUGGCAUUUUCAGGUAACCGGAACUUCCUUAUCAGCCUCUGAGGUGUCCUCCUCUCAAGUCUUAUGUACUUGCAGCCUUCUUCCUCACCAUCUUCGCGUUUCCUCUUCCCUCCACUCCUAAUCACAAGUGUGUUCUCAUCUUCAACAGUCACCUAUAGCAUCCAAAUGAACCAAAAAUUAGUAACAAAGGAUCACAUUCACAUUUUCAGAUGAAUCAACAAUCCCAAUUCCAACAACGGAGUACGGGGGAAUUGUGAUUGUACCUGA
rnacentral:lncRNA from 1 species